AUUGAACGCUGGUGGCAUGCCUUACACAUGCAAGUCGAACGGUAACAGGCCUUCGGUUGCCGACUAGUGGUGGACGGGGGCGUAAUACAUCGACACGGGCCCGAUCGCGAUGGGAAACGGGUCGAAAGCUGAGCUAAUACCUCAUACGAGCUACGAUUUAGAGCAGGAGGCUGCAAGGCCGUACGCGGACUUAGCGGCCGCUGGCAGAUUAGCUAGUUGGUGAGUUAAAAGCUUACCAAGCCGACGAUCUGUAGCUGAACUGAGAGGAUGAUCAGCCACACUGGAACUGAGACACGGCCCAGACUCCUACGGGAGGCAGCAGUGGGGAAUUUUGGACAAUGGGCGCAAGCCUGAUCCAGCCAUGCCGCGUGAAUGAUGAAGGUCUUCGGGUUGUAAACUGCUUUUGUACGGGACGAAAAGCCUUCUUAUAAUACAGGCGGGUCAUGACGGUACCGAAAGAAUAAGCACCGGCUAACUACGUG
rnacentral:rRNA from 1 species